rnacentral:rRNA from 1 species
AUUGAACGCUGGCGGCAGGCCUAACACAUGCAAGUCGAGCGGAGCGGCGGACGGGUGAGUAAGGCCUAGGAAUCUGCCUGGUAGUGGGGGAUAACGACCGGAAACGGGCGCUAAUAACGCAUACUUUCAGAUGAACCUAGAUGGGAUUAGCUAGUUGGUGGGGUAAAGGCCUACCAAGGCGACGAUCCGUAACUGGUUUGAGAGGAUGAUCAGUCACACUGGAACUGAGACACGGUCCAGACUCCUACGGGAUGCAGCAGUGGGGAAUAUUGGACAAUGGGCGAAAGCCUGAUCCAGCCAUGCCGCGUGUGUGAAGAAGGUCUUCGGAUUGUAAAGCACUUUAAGCUGGGAGGCGUUACCAACAGAAUAAGCACCGGCUAACUUCGUGCCAGCAGCCGCGGUAAUUC